rnacentral:rRNA from 1 species
CAGUCGCCACGGUAAUACGGAGGGUGCAAGCGUUAAUCGGAAUUACUGGGCGUAAGGCGUGCGUAGGCGGUUCGUUAAGUCUGUUGUGAAAGCCCCGGGCUCAACCUGGGAAUGGCAAUGGAUACUGGCGAGCUAGAGUGUGUCAGAGGAUGGUGGAAUUCCCGGUGUAGCGGUGAAAUGCGUAGAGAUCGGGAGGAACAUCAGUGGCGAAGGCGGCCAUCUGGGACAACACUGACGCUGAGGCACGAAAGCGUGGGGAGCAAACAGGAUUAGAUACCCCCGUAGUCCCUGUCUCUUAUAC